rnacentral:rRNA from 1 species
AUUGAACGCUGGCGGCAGGCCUAACACAUGCACGUCGAACGAGUGGCGUACGGGUGCGUAAUGUCUGGGAAACUGCCCGAUGGAGGGGGAUAACUACUGGAGACGGUAGCUAAUACCGCAUACCAUCGGAUGUGCCCAGAUGGGAUUAGCUAGUCGGUGGGGUUACGGCUCACAUAGGCGACGUUCCGUAGCUGGUCUGAGAGGAUGACCAGCCACACGGGAACUGAGACGCGGUCCAUACUCCUACGGGAUGCAGCAGUGGGGAAUAUUGGACAAUGGGCGCAAGCCUGAGGCAGCCAGGCCGCGUGUAUGAAGAAGGCCUUCGGGUUGUAAAGUACUUUCAGCGAGGAGGCGUUACUCGCAGAAGAAGCACCGGCUAACUCCGUGCCAGCAGCCGCGGUAAUAC